rnacentral:rRNA from 1 species
UACGUAGGUGGCGAGCGUUGUCCGGAUUUACUGGGCGUAAAGGGAGCGUAGGCGGACUUUUAAGUGAGAUGUGAAAUACCCGGGCUCAACUUGGGUGCUGCAUUUCAAACUGGAAGUCUAGAGUGCAGGAGAGGAGAAUGGAAUUCCUAGUGUAGCGGUGAAAUGCGUAGAGAUUAGGAAGAGCACCGGUGGCGAAGGCGGGUAACUGGACUGCAACUGACGCUGAGGCGCGAAAGUAUGGGGAGCAAACAGGAUUAGAUACCCCGGUAGUCCCU